UGGGGAAUUUUGCGCAAUGGGGGAAACCCUGACGCAGCAACGCCGCGUGAGUGAUGAAGGCCUUCGGGUCGUAAAGCUCUGUCAGAGGGGAAGAAAUGCAGGGGUGCUAAUAUCAUCUUUGCUUGACGGUACCCUCAAAGGAAGCACCGGCUAACUCCGUGCCAGCAGCCGCGGUAAUACGGAGGGUGCGAGCGUUGUUCGGAAUUAUUGGGCGUAAAGCGCGUGUAGGCGGUUUGAUAAGUCCGAUGUGAAAGCCCCGGGCUCAACCUGGGAAGUGCAUUGGAAGCUGUCAGACUUGAAUACGGGAGAGGGUAGUGGAAUUCCUAGUGUAGGAGUGAAAUCCGUAGAUAUUAGGAGGAACACCGGUGGCGAAGGCGGCUACCUGGACCGAUAUUGACGCUGAGACGCGAAAGCGUGGGGAGCAAACAG
rnacentral:rRNA from 1 species